GCCUUGCUGGCUUGCUUGAUAGAGCAUGUGACUCUUGAGCUCAAGGCUGUGAGUUCAAGUCCCAUGUUGGGCA
rnacentral:tRNA from 1 species